rnacentral:rRNA from 1 species
GACAGAGGGUGCAAACGUUGUUCGGAAUUACUGGGCGUAAAGCGCGUGUAGGCAGCUUGGAAAGUCGGAUGUGAAAGCCCUGGGCUUAACCCAGGAAGUGCACUCGAAACUUCCAAGCUUGAGUCCUGGAGAGGGAAGCGGAAUUCUCGGUGUAGAGGUGAAAUUCGUAGAUAUCGAGAGGAACACCGGUGGCGAAGGCGGCUUCCUGGACAGUGACUGACGCUGAGACGCGAAAGCGUGGGGAGCAAACAGGAUUAGAAACCCCAGUAGUCC